ACGGCUCAGUAACACGUCGGUAACCUACCCUCGGGAGAGGGAUAACCCCGGGAAACUGGGGCUAAUUCCCCAUAGGCCUGAGGUACUGGAAGGUCCUCAGGCCGAAAGGGACUUAUGUCCGCCCGAGGAUGGGCCGGCGGCCGAUUAGGUAGUUGGUGGGGUAAUGGCCCACCAAGCCGAAGAUCGGUACGGGCUGUGAGAGCAGGAGCCCGGAGAUGGACACUGAGACACGGGUCCAGGCCCUACGGGGCGCAGCAGGCGCGAAACCUCCGCAAUGCGGGAAACCGCGACGGGGGGACCCCGAGUGCCGUGGCAACGCCACGGCUUUUCCGGAGUGUAGAAAGCUCCGGGAAUAAGGGCUGGGCAAGGCCGGUGGCAGCCGCCGCGGUAAUACCGGCGGCCCGAGUGGUGGCCGCUAUUAUUGGGCCUAAAGCGUCCGUAGCCGGGCCCGUAAGUCCCUGGCGAAAUCCCACGGCUCAACCGUGGGGCUUGCUGGGGAUACUGCGGGUCUUGGGACCGGGAGAGGCGGGGGGUACCCCUGGGGUAGGGGUGAAAUCCUAUAAUCCCAGGGGGACCGCCAGUGGCGAAGGCGCCCCGCUGGAACGGGUCCGACGGUGAGGGACGAAGGCCAGGGGAGCAAACCGGAUUAGAUACCCGGGUAGUCCUGGCUGUAAAGGAUGCGGGCUAGGUGUCGGGUGAGCCUCGAGCUCGCCCGGUGCCGUAGGGAAGCCGUUAAGCCCGCCGCCUGGGGAGUACGGCCGCAAGGCUGAAACUUAAAGGAAUUGGCGGGGGAG
rnacentral:rRNA from 1 species